rnacentral:rRNA from 1 species
GAACGCUGCGGCAUGCCUACACAUGCAAGUCGAACGGCAGCGCGGGGCAACCUGGCGGCGAGUGGCGAACGGGUGAGUAAUAUAUCGGAAGUACCCUGGAUGGGGGAUAACGUAGCGAAAGUUACGCUAAUACCGCAUACGAUCUAAGGAUGAAAUGGGGGAUCGCAAGACCUCAUGCUCCUGGAGCGGCCGAUAUCUGAUUAGCUAGUUGUGGGUAAAGGCUACCAAGGCAUCGAUCAGUAGCUGGUCUGAGAGGACGACCAGCCACACUGGAGCUGAGACACGGUCCAGACUCCUACGGGAGGCAGCAGUGGGGAAUCUUCCGCAAUGGGCGAAAGCCUGAUGGAAGCAACGCCGCGUGCAGGAUGAAGGCCUUCGGGUUGUAAACUGCUUUUAUAAGCGAGAAAUAUGAUGGUAACUUAUGAAUAAGGAUCGGCUAACUACGUGCCAGCCGCCGC